UACGAAGGGUGCAAGCGUUAAUCGGAAUUACUGGGCGUAAAGCGUGCGCAGGCGGUGAUGUAAGACAGAUGUGAAAUCCCCGGGCUCAACCUGGGAACUGCAUUUGUGACUGCAUCGCUGGAGUGCGGCAGAGGGGGAUGGAAUUCCGCGUGUAGCAGUGAAAUGCGUAGAUAUGCGGAGGAACACCGAUGGCGAAGGCAAUUCCCUGGGCCUGCACUGACGCUCAUGCACGAAAGCGUGGGGAGCAAACAGG
rnacentral:rRNA from 1 species